rnacentral:rRNA from 1 species
UAAUACUCCAACGACAGGUUCCCCUACCAUUACCUUGUUUCAACUUCAUCCAAAUUACCCUAAUGUUUCUAAAAGUAUAUCUGAAAUAUAAAUUUGCUGAGUAAACAUACCCCCAUUCUACAAUUUUAACCCAUUACAGUUCUCCGGACGUGAUGGGCGGUGUGUGCAAAAUUUAAAUAAAAUUCAUCGUAACGAUCUUAUUUACGAUUACUAAUGAUUCCAGCUUCACGAAUUUCAAUUUCAAAAUUCGAUUCGAACUAAGAUAAUUUUUGGGGUAUAAUUUCGUAACUACCGUAAUUCCCCCUGUAAAUACCCAUGUAACACGUGUGUAGCCCAGCAUAUUUAGACCAUAAUGACUUGACUUCUCCUCAAAAUCACUAUUAAAAUUAUUAAUUCGUCGAAUAAACUUAAGCUUUACAAAUUAAUAAAAAGUAAUAUUAAAAUGAAAGACUUAAGUCUCACUAGUUAUAAAUUUAAUAAUAGUGAAUACUGCAGUUAAUAUAGUUUCUACCAUAAAAUAAUAAUUAUGUAUAUUAAAAAAUGUAAUACUGCAGCACAAGAUUGUGUUUACUUUAUACUUUCAUCGUAAACUGACGACAGCCAUGCAGUACCAAUUCAAUUUGUAACGUAAUAUGAGAACAGUAAAUUACUUAACAAAUGUACUACACUGGUAAGGUUUCUCGCGGAUUAUCGAAUUAAACCACAUGUUCCACCAUUUAUAAAAAUUCCCGCCAAUCCCUUUAAAUUUUACCCUUGCGGCCAUAAUCUUCAGGUAAAAUAUUUAAACGUUAGUCAACAUUAAAAAUAAAUAUUCAUUAUUCAGGGUAUAAACUAAUGGGGUCUCAAAUCCCAUUCGAAUUUUAUACUUCAGUGGUUCAGUGUCAAUAUAAAGUUGAUUCGCGAAUCUCAUCAAAAAAUCCAACAAUUCUACAUGAAUUUCACCUCUAAAAUUGUUAAAUUCGAAGCAUACUAAUAUUCUAGUACUAGAUUAAAAAUCAUAACCACCCAACACUGGUAAUUUGAAAUUAACUAAUCUAGACGACCUAGCCACUUUUACACCCAAUCACGACGGAUAACGCUCCUCCAUCAACGUCUUACCGCGACUGCUGGCACGUUGUUAGCCCGG